rnacentral:rRNA from 1 species
CCUACGGUGGGCAGCAGUGAGGAAUAUUGGUCAAUGGGCGCGAGCCUGAACCAGCCAAGUCGCGUGAGGGAAGACGGUCCUAUGGAUUGUAAACCUCUUUUGUCGGGGAGCAAAAGACGCCACGCGUGGCCUUCCGAGAGUACCCGAAGAAAAAGCAUCGGCUAACUCCGUGCCAGCAGCCGCGGUAAUACGGAGGAUGCGAGCGUUGUCCGGAUUUAUUGGGUUUAAAGGGUGCGUAGGCGGAAUAUCAAGUCAGCGGUAAAAAUUCGGGGCUCAACCCCGUCGUGCCGUUGAAACGGAUGUUCUGGAGUGGGCGAGAAGUAUGCGGAAUGCGUGGUGUAGCGGUGAAAUGCAUAGAUAUCACGCAGAACUCCGAUUGCGAAGGCAGCAUACCGGCGCCCAACUGACGCUGAAGCACGAAAGCGUGGGUAUCGAACAGGAUUAGAUACCCGUGUAGUC